rnacentral:rRNA from 1 species
AGUGAACGCUGGCGGCGUGCUUAACACAUGCAAGUCGAACGAGAACGGCUUAUAGUUUACUAUAAGUGUCAGCUAAGUGGCGCACGGGUGAGUAAUGUAUAGUUAACCUGCCCUCUAGAAAGGAAUAACAGUUGGAAACGACUGCUAAUGCCCUAUAUGCCUUUAAGACAGAAGUCUGCAAGGGAAACGCUUUAGUGCUAGAGGAUGGGACUGUAUGGUAUCAGGUAGUUGGUGAGGUAAUGGCUCACCAAGCCAAUGACGCCUAACUGGUUUGAGAGGAUGAUCAGUCACACUGGAACUGAGACACGGUCCAG